rnacentral:misc_RNA from 1 species
UUUCCGUAGGUGAACCUGCGGAAGGAUCAUUAGUGAAUUGAAUAUGUUAGCGGACCUCUUCGGAGUCCCUAGCAUCAAAUCAUAUCCAUAACACCUGUGAACUGUAAGGCUGUCUUGAAAACGAAAGUGAUUAGAGCGCCUGCCCAUUUUAUACAAACAUUAAAGUACAAACGUAGUCUUACUAUAAUCUAAUAAAACUUUCAACAACGGAUCUCUUGGCUCUC